rnacentral:sRNA from 1 species
CCGAGUUUACAACUCCCAAACCCAUGUGAACAUUACCUCUAUGUAGCUUCGGCGGAGCCGCCCCGGCGCCCGGAACCCCCUGCGGUCCCGCGGCCCGGUACCAAGGCGCCCGCCGGAGGCCACGAACUCUUCUGUUUUUACAGUUUCUUCUGAGUGUGCCGCAACCAGUAUACAGAUGAGU